rnacentral:rRNA from 1 species
UGGGGGAUAGUGAGGGGAGAAAUUUCCUUAAGGAACUCGGCAAAAUCCCAAUGGCCCACCAGGGCAGUAUUGGAACACGGGCCUCGACUGUUUACCAAAAACAUAGCCCUCGGCCAAUAUGAAAAUAGAUGUAUAGAGGGUGAGGCCUGCCCAAUGGUUGUAUCUAAAAGCGGUUGAUAAAAGUCGACCUCGUAAGGACAAUUGAAUGGCCGCGGUAACACUGACCGUGAUAAUGUAGCGUAAUCAAUAGCCAAUUAAUUGUUGGCCAGUAUGAAUGGCGCCACGAAGGCCCCCCUGUCUUAAGGAAAUUCCCAGUGAAAUUGAAUUCGUAGUGAAGAUGCUACGUCCAAUUUGUUAGACGAAAAGACCCCGUUGAGCUUUACUGGGGCACUUACACGGCCCCGGCCUUCCAAACUAGGCUUACGAUGCCUAGGGAUUGGCCGAAUUUCCCUAUCAAAUGAUAGGCUACUAUAAAAUGGGCGGUUUAGACUAUGUGGCAGCCCCCCGUCGGGGCAGAUGAAACCCCACUCCCCCAUGUCAAAGGGGCUAACCCCCCCCUUGGGGGGGACAGUGUAAGUAGGACAGUUUGGUUGGGGCGACCGCCUUUUAAAGAGUAACGAAGGUGCGCUUAAGGUGCGCCAAUAAUGACUGAAGCCUGACUGCGAGGGGGACACCCCGAGCAGACACCCCCAAGCCCGCCCGCCCGCUCUCUAAUAUUAGAGAGCGGGAGGGCGGCGGCGGGGUGGGCCAUAGUGACCCGUUAAUUUAGAGUGGAAUAGUUAACGAUCAACGAAUAAAAG